rnacentral:sRNA from 1 species
GAAGCAGGACCUAGGUGGCGGCGGUGGUACCGGCUGCAAUGGUGUCCAAUCCCGUGCAUGGCUUGCCCUUUCUUCCGGGCACGUCCUUUAAGGACUCUACGAAAACAGCCUUCCACAGAAGUCAGACGCUGGGCUACAGGAACGGCUAUGCAAUUGUUCGACGUCCAACAGUUGGGAUAGGCGGAGACCGGCUCCAGUUCAACCAGCUGUCCCAGGCUGAGCUGGAUGAGUUGGCCAGUAAGGCACCAGUCUUAACUUAUGGCCAACCUAAACAAGCCCCACCUGCGGAUUUUAUUCCUGCGCAUGUGGCCUUUGACAAAAAGGUUAUUGGGGAACAGGUCGUGUUUGGUUACAUGACUAUUGUAAAAGGGGUUGAGUUAUUGAUUUGAUUCUCAGCUUGGUCGCUGUUGGUGUAAAGAAGAGCUACUGAUAUGUGUAUAUUAAUUUUGUAU